rnacentral:lncRNA from 1 species
UGCUGGGUGAUUACUGACCAUUGAGACGCAAGCAAGACCCGUGUAUAAGAGUAGCUAAAUUAUUGAGCUUGUAACAGUUGUUCCAUCUAGCUAGAGAAGUUGUGUAGCCCUUUGAAUCUUAGCUGAGUAACUUUUAAACAGGCUCUUUACUUCCUUUGUAAUGAAAACAGUGGCUUAGACCUCAGCAUAUAAACUUCUGCACUACCCUUCCAGCUCCAAAGGGAAACACACAUCAUGUAGUCCACAUGUUAGGAAAAGUCAGACAUAAAAUCACAGCUAAUACUAUUUAAACUGAAUAAAACUAGAAGACAAAAUUUACAGUCUAACAGUGUACUUUACAAAGACCAAUAAAUGAAAUGAGGCUGAAGACAGCACUGGUGCUCUCAGGAGAAAUUCAUUAUCAGUAAAUAUAGUUCUGCUUAAUCUCCCUGAGAAUUCACACAGGCAUUUGAUUGCUGUCUGAAAGCAGAAGGUCAAACAUACUCCUGUUUGAACUGUGUUAAAUACAAAAAGAACAAAACAUUUGAUACAUGUAUCACUAAUUCUUGGACACCUCAGUACACUCUUUUCAGUGUAUCACUAUCGACUUCCUCAGCAGAAAAAUCAGAGUGAAUCUCUGUUAACAUUGAAUACACUAUUACAGUUUUCAAGCACCAUAAAUUCCAGAUGAGUUGUGAGCGUUAAUUGUGAGAUUUUGCAUAAGACUAAGAAGUUAUCUUUUUCUUUUCUUUUUAAUCAGCAAACAAGUUACUGAAAUUUAUUAAUGAGGAACUUUGGAUUUCACAAACCAGACUUACUAUGGGGAAGAAAAUGGUAAUACCUUCCUAUUUUCAGUUACUAUGUCAAAAAACAUAUAAAAGGUUUAUCAAACUGUAGAAUUACUCCUUUUCUGUCUGUCUGUUCCCUAAAUUCUGACAAGCUUUUAAAUUGAAGAAUGCUUAUAAUUGUUUAGAAGGAGCUGUUUAUGCUUUUUAUGGAGGUAACAGAACAAAUAAAGGACAUUCAUCCACUUGCUGCUCCAGGCAAGUUCCAUGGAAUGCAUGGAAAGACAAACAAAAUACUGUGUUACCUUUGUAAUCGAUACAUCUAUGAAUGAAAUACAUUUACUCGAGUGCCUCAGCACUGACAGGCUGCAAGUCCUUGGCGAGGUGGCACAUCUGGGAUGCAGCAGUGUGUGCCGUGUGGCUUUUGACUUACUGUACGUGUGCUGGAAAGAUAAUAUGUGAGGUGUAGCAUCAUGAUAUUAUGGCAUCAUGAAAUUCUUAAUGUGCGUUAUCAUUAUGUGAUAUAAAUAUGUGUUAUCAUUAAGCUUAUGAGCCAGCCAUGGUUUAGAUUGGCCAAAGGCUGUACAGUAUUAGGGAAAAAAAGGAGCCAGAAAACCUAAAAGUCUCUCUUGCUUGCAGCAGCAUUAAUUUGGCUCUGUCCACAUAAGAAAUACACAUUAAUACUACUAAAACUUUGCUGUUUUUCCCCGGCAGCUAUUCUUCUCACCUCUAGUGUUGCUCUACAUGUAAACAUACAGCCUAGGUAAUUCUGCUUACAUGGUAAAAUUUAACAUUGUAUAAUACACAGCAAUUUAUUAUACAGUGUAUAUGUAUAUAUGUAUAGUGUGAUUUAGCUGAGUUAAUUCUACUACUGUGGCUUUAAUUCUUGCACUUCUCAAUGUGUAAGUUUCUGCAGGUGAUAACUGUGCUAAUAAUGCAUGUUUGGCAUUUAAUGUCUCUGUAAUAAAAAACCUUGUAUUAAAUG